rnacentral:rRNA from 1 species
GACGAACGCUGGCGGCGUGCUUAACACAUGCAAGUCGAACGGAAAGGCCCUGCUUUUGUGGGGUGCUCGAGUGGCGAACGGGUGAGUAACACGUGAGUAACCUGCCCUUGACUUUGGGAUGACUUCAGGAAACUGGGGCUAAUACCGGAUAGGAGCUCCUGCUGCAUGGUGGGGGUUGGAAAGUUUCGGCGGUUGGGGAUGGACUCGCGGCUUAUAAGCUUGUUGGUGGGGUAGUGGCUUACCAAGGCUUUGACGGGUAGCCGGCCUGAGAGGGUGACCGGCCACAUUGGGACUGAGAUACGGCCCAGACUCCUACGGGAGGCAGCAGUGGGGAAUAUUGCACAAUGGGCGGAAGCCUGAUGCAGCAACGCCGCGUGCGGGAUGACGGCCUUCGGGUUGUAAACCGCUUUCGCCUGUGACGAAGCGUGAGUGACGGUAAUGGGUAAAGAAGCACCGGCUAACUACGUG